AUGGAGAAUAAACCAAUUGAGCAUCUUAGUAACCGCUUCACAGUAACACCCACAAAUGGAUCUGCAUAUGCUGAGAAGGAAAUGCUAAAGCAGACUAUACUUGCACAGGAAGCUACAUUCCGGAAACAGGUCUAUGAACUCCAUCGUCUGUACAAGGUUCAGAAGGACCUAAUGGCAUUACAAUGCCGAGGAGGUGAAUCAAAGGGAUAUUCUCAAGCCAUAUCAUAUUCAUUACCAUCUGGGGGUAUAAGAAGAGUCCAGCAAAUGGGGCCUCCUGCAGGACAUGAUAUGAGGAAACCUUCUGGAAAAUUCAUGAAGGGAAAAAAUAUAGAGCGUGGCUUGAACAGAGUGGCUAUGAGGCAUAGCAAUAGCGGGUCCACAAAAGAAAUGCUCCUUCAGGUUCCAGCUAAUGCAGAUGAUAGUGAUGAUGAUGUGGUGACAGUAUGGGAGAACCCUGCAAAGAGUUUGCCAAGAAAUAGUGGUUCAGUUGGUACAAAUCUGAAGCUUAGCAUUGAACGCACCUCACCCAUGGACAAGAAUUGGGCCACUGGUUUACAGCCAUCAGGUGUCUCAACAGUGAAUGCUUUGAACAAAAAAGUGAUAGGGUCACCUAGCACUAUGAAGAAGACAAACUUCGCAAGUGUGAGUGCCUCCAGUUCUAAGAACCAGUGUUAUUCAUACGACCAUAAAUUAAAAGAUCGAAGCAGUGGCAUGGAAUGGCUCACACACAAGAAAACUGGUGUUGAUUCCUCAACUGUGCAUUACCAGUCCACCUCUAGCAUCAUCAAUCCAGGAAUAUUUGUAGCAUCCAGCUCCAAUGCUGCACCCAGAUCUCUAUGGCAAAGCAGCGCCACAGAUUACAUGACUAGGAGGCAUUAUGCUGACGCUGAAUUUCCCAGUGCUCAGAAUGGCCGACUUCCAACAUUUCAAAGAUAUCACCGCCUUCAUUCAUCAGAGAUUCCUGGAGGGGCUCAGUAUCAACAUCCUUCCCCAUUUUAUGAUUGUCCCAAGGAUGUGAAUCUGAACAAUGGUCCUCGAGAUGCAACUGCCACUCUAGGACAAGCAAGUGAGAAUGCAUCAAAGGAAAUCUUGUGGGACGGAAAGAAGCUGCGAAACUUGAUGAAGAAAAUCACCAUGAAGAAAUCACAAGUGUCACCGAGUCGUGAGAAUGGGCAUUCCCAGAUUUCUCCUGGUUCCAUGGGUUAUUCAGGAGGUAGUACAAGAAUCCUUGGUUUCACUAUAAGUGCAGCGACCGAGAAAGAUUCUCAACGCUCAUCCACUUCGUCCACUACACACAUGGCCACAGACAGCACACCCUCGAGCAAGGGUGUAGCUGACAUGGAAAUGCAAUUCCAGAACAAGAAGGAUGGCACCAGUGUCAGAAACCUCAUUGACCUGAAUGUUGCACUGCCGUUCAUGGAUGUCGCAGAGAUUGAUGCCCGCCAGUCAGAAGGCGACAGUGUUCCUGAAGAACCAGAUGGUCCUUCCACUGCUGCAGCAAAGAAUCUCAUGGUCAUGCAUACGGGUGAAUUCCAAGCAGGACCACCUCAAGGUAAUAUUCUGCAUUGGUUUGCUGGCCUCGCGACAUCAGGGGAGAGCACAGUGGUCUGUAGUAGUGAAAUGAACAAUGUUGAUACGACUCUGAAGCUUUGA
rnacentral:rRNA from 1 species